GGCUGGUCUGAAGGUAGUGAGUCAUCUCACUUGACUGUUCACAGUCAGUCACAGACUGAACUCCUCAUGCUACUACUUACCCCCUCCUCACUACUGCCCCUGACUAGUCUAAA
rnacentral:Y_RNA from 1 species